AGCCUGAUCCAGCCAUGCCGCGUGUGUGAAGAAGGCCUUCGGGUUGUAAAGCACUUUCAGCGAGGAAGAACGCCUUGGGAUUAAUACUCCCGAGGAAAGACAUCACUCGCAGAAGAAGCACCGGCUAACUCCGUGCCAGCAGCCGCGGUAAUACGGAGGGUGCAAGCGUUAAUCGGAAUUACUGGGCGUAAAGCGCGCGUAGGUGGCUAAGUCAGCCAGGUGUGAAAGCCCCGGGCUCAACCUGGGAACGGCAUCUGGAACUGCUUGGCUAGAGUGCAGGAGAGGAAGGUAGAAUUCCCGGUGUAGCGGUGAAAUGCGUAGAGAUCGGGAGGAAUACCAGUGGCGAAGGCGGCCUUCUGGACUGACACUGACACUGAGGUGCGAAAGCGUGGGUAGCAAACAGGAUUAGAUACCCUGGUAGUCCACGCCGUAAACGAUGUCAACUAGCCGUUGGGUCCCUUGAGGACUUAGUGGCGCAGCUAACGCAAUAAGUUGACCGCCUGGGGAGUACGGCCGCAAGGUUAAAACUCAAAUGA
rnacentral:rRNA from 1 species